rnacentral:rRNA from 1 species
ACAUGAGGCGCAAAACGGGGGGAACCAACCAGAUUUAGAUUCCCUGGUUAGUCCCCCCCGAAAGAAGAGUUAAGUUUUAGGGGGUUUCCCCCCUUUAUGGGGAAGUAACCCAUUAACCAUUCCCCCCGGGGGAGUCGGUCCCAAAGUUUAAAAUUAAAAGAAAUGGACGGGGCCCCGCCAAAGGGGGGGAGCAUGUGGUUUAAUUGAAAGCAACGGGAAGACCCUUCCCAGUUUUUGACAUCCUUUGACAACCCUAGAGAUAGGGUUUCUCCUUCGGGAGCAGAGGGACAGGUGGUGCAAGGUUGUUGUCAAGUUGUGUUGUGAGAAGGUGGGGUAAAUUCCGCAACGAGGGCCACCCUUGAUUUUAGUUUCCAUCCAUUAGUUGGGCCCUUUAAGGGGGCUUCCGGGGACAAACCGGAGGAAGGGGGGGAAGACGUCAAAUCAUCAAUCCCCCUAUGACCUGGGCUACACCCGUGGUACAAAGGGCGGUACAAAGAGGUGCAAAACCGGGAAGAGGAAGUAAUUUCAAAAAACCGUUUUCAAUUUGGAUUGUAGGGUGCAAAUUGCCUUCAAGAAAGCGGAAUUGGUAGGUAUUGGGGAUCAACAAUCCGCGGGGAAAUCGUUUCCGGGCCUUGGACCCCCCCCCCGUCCCCCCCCGAGAAUUUGGAACCCCCGGAAUUGGGGGGGGAACCUUUUUGGAGCCAGCCGCCUAAGGGGAACAUGAGAGU